AACCAGCACCUCAAGUGGUCAGGAGGAUUAUUGGGCCUAAAGCAUCCGUAGCCGGCUCUGUAAGUUUUCGGUUAAAUCUAUACGCUCAACGUAUAGGCUGCCGAAAAUACUGCACAGCUAGGGAAUGGGAGAGGUAGACGGUACUCGGUAGGAAGGGGUAAAAUCCUUUGAUCUAUCGAUGACCACCUGUGGCGAAGGCGGUCUACCAGAACAUGUUCGACGGUGAGGGAUGAAAGCUGGGGGAGCAAACCGG
rnacentral:rRNA from 1 species